AACCAGCUCUACAAGUGGUCGGGAUGAUUAUUGGGCUUAAAGUGUCCGUAGCCGGUUUAGUAAGUUCCUGGUAAAAUCAGGUAGCUUAACUAUCUGUAUGCUAGGAAUACUACUAUACUAGAGGGCGGGAGAGGUCUGAGGUACUACAGGGGUAGGGGUGAAAUCUUAUAAUCCUUGUAGGACCACCAGUGGCGAAGGCGUCAGACUGGAACGUGCCGUGACGGUGAGGGACGAAAGCCAGGGGAGCGAACCGGAUUAGAUACCCGGGUAGUCCUGGCCGUAAACGAUGCAUACUAGGUGAUGGCCCGGCCAUGAGCCGUGUCAGUGCCGUAGGGAAACCGUUAAGUGUGCCGCCUGGGAAGUACGGUCGCAAGGCUAAAACUUAAAGGAAUUGGCGGGGGAGCACCACAAGGGGUGAAGCCUGCGGUUC
rnacentral:rRNA from 1 species